GAGUUUGAUCCUGGCUCAGGACGAACGCUGGCGGUGCGCCUUAUGCAUACAAGUCGAGCGAAGCUUUUCAGUAGUUUACUACAGAAAAUGACUGAGCGGCGAACGGGUGAGUAACGCGUGAGCAAUCUACCUUAGUUACAGGGAUAGCCCGAGGAAACUCGGAUUAAUACCUGAUAUUCUUUAUUUCUCGCAUGAGAAUAAAAGGAUAGGUCAGCCGAACUAAGGUGAGCUCGCGUUCUAUCAGCUAGUUGGUGAGGUAAAAGCUUACCAAGGCUACGACGGAUAGCUGGUCUGAGAGGACGAUCAGCCACACUGGGACUGAGACACGGCCCAGACUCCUACGGGAGGCUGCAGCAGGGAAUAUUGUGCAAUGAACGAAAGUUUGACACUGCGACACCGCGUGUGGGAUGACGGAUCUAGGUUUGUAAACCACUUUCAGGAGGGAAGAAAAUGACGGUACCUCCACAAGAAGCCCCGGCCAACUACGUGCCAGCAGCCGCGGUAAUACGUAGGGGGCGAGCGUUGUCCGGAUUUAUUGGGCGUAAAGAGCUCGUAGGCGGUUCAACAAGUCGGUCGUGAAAGUUCAGGGCUCAACCCUGAAAUGUCGAUCGAUACUGUUGUGACUAGGAUACGGUAGAGGUGAGUGGAAUUCCGAGUGUAGCGGUGAAAUGCGUAGAUAUUCGGAGGAACACCAAUUGCGAAGGCAGCUCACUGGGCCGCUAUCGACGCUGAGGAGCGAAAGCUAGGGGAGCAAACAGGAUUAGAUACCCUGGUAGUCCUAGCUGUAAACGAUGGAUACUAGAUGUAGGAACUGGAUUGACGGUUUCUGUAUCGCAGCUAACGCGUUAAGUAUCCCGCCUGGGGAGUACGGUCGCAAGACUAAAACUCAAAGGAAUUGACGGGACCCCGCACAAGCGGCGGAGCAUGCGGCUUAAUUCGAUGAUACCCGUAGAACCUUACCUGGACUUGACAUAUAGGGUCAAGCUAUAGAGAUAUAGUGUGCAUCAGCGCCCUAUACAGGUGGUGCAUGGCUGUCGUCAGCUCGUGUCGUGAGAUGUUGGGUUAAGUCCCGCAACGAGCGCAACCCCUGUCCUAUGUUGCCAGCAUUUAGUUGGGGACUCAUAGGAGACUGCCGGUGAUAAGCCGGAGGAAGGUGGGGACGACGUCAAGUCAUCAUGCCCCUUAUGUCCAGGGCUGCACGCAUGCUACAAUGGCAAGUACAACGAGUCGCAAUACCGCGAGGUGGAGCAAAUCUCUUAAAGCUUGUCUCAGUUCGGAUAGGAGUCUGCAACUCGACUCCUUGAAGUUGGAGUCGCUAGUAAUCGCAAAUCAGCAAAGUUGCGGUGAAUACGUUCUCGGGGUUUGUACACACCGCCCGUC
rnacentral:rRNA from 1 species